AUGAAGCCUCAUCUUCUCAUGUUGCUAAUCAUCAUGCUUGUUUCAAUUUCUUAUAAACCAUCACUUAUAGAAGCAAGGACACUUUCCUUAAUCUCAAAUCAAGGGUACUCAAAGAUUUUUGCAACACUUGGAGUUGUUUGCCAAUGUUGUGACGAAAUUGGUAGUGCUUGCACAAGUACUUGGACAGAAUCUUGCAAGAACUUGAAAUGUUUACCUUGGAAAUCACACUAG